UUUUUUUAUUUUUUUAAUUAAUUUUUACAAAAUUCUAAUUUCACAUGCCAAUCCCUUCUCCCUCUCCUCCCUCAGCCUCCCAGCAGCCCCCUCCCCUCUCCUCCCUCCACACACCAUGGAGGGUAGGGCCCUCCACGGGGGCUCCCCAAAUUCCACAACAUCAUCUUGGGCCAGGCUUAGGCCCUCCCCCAUGUGUCCAGGCUGAGAGAGCAUCCCUUCACUUGGGAUGGGCUCUCAAAGGCCCUUCUUACACCAGGGAAAAAUACUGAUCCACUACCAGAGGCCCCAUCGAGUGUCGAGGCCUCCUAGUUGACAUCCACUUACAGGGGUCUGGAUUAGUUCCAUGAUGGCCUCCCAGAGAGCAGACUGGGGUCCAUGUGUUCCUCCUUGUUCAGGUCAGCUGUUUCUGUGGGUUUCACCAGCCUGGUCCCAACCCCCUUGAUCUUCAUUUCUCUCUCUUUGCACCUGGGUUCCAGAGUUCAGUUCAGUGUAUAGCUGUGGGUGUCUGUGAUGCAUUCUUUUAUGUUGCAUUUGUUCAACUCUGUGAAGCUGUAUUACUUUGCCUGUAUAAAACACAUGAUUAGGGUAAUAAAGAGCUGAAAGGCCAAUAGCAAAUCAGAAUAAAGGACAGGUGGGGCUGGUAGACAUAGAGAAUAAACAGAAGGAUUAAAAGAGGAAAGGAAAGAUGAAGGAGCAAGAAAAGAAGUGGACCUAAUAUCUAGCUACUCAGACAGACACGAAGUAAGAAGAAAAGUAAAGGAAAGAUGAAGGAGCAAGAAAAGAAGUGGACCUAAUAUCUAGCUACUCAGACAGACACGAAGUAAGAAGAAAAGUAAAGGCCAGGUGGUCAUGACCCUUAUGUUUAAUCAGUGAGUUCGAGUCCAGACUGGUCUACAAGUGUUAGUUCCAGGACAGGCUCCAAAGCUACACAGAGAAAUCCUGUCUGGAAAUUUUUUAAAAAGUAGUGGGAUUUCAUGCAGUUUCAUCCCAUAUCUUUAGUUGUAGCUAACUCAGUCCUUAGCACUUCUUUUCCUCACCUUCAACUUACAUUCCUGUUUAAAUUCUGGUUCUAAGUCUUCCCCCUGCCCCAUUUUCCUGUAUCAUAUGUGUUCCACUAUCCCCUCUUAUUAUAUUAUUUUUCCUUUGGAUGCAAGAUCAUAGGUUCUCAUGUAGUUCUUUCAUACAUAGUUCACAUAUCAAUCCUAUUGAUGUUUGUGUUUUUGUAUUUAUUUAUUCAGUUUGGUAUUCUUUAAGCAUUUCAAAUAAGCAUACAAAAUAUUUUGAUCAUAUCCAUUCUCUGAAGCCCCCUCUCCAAUUUCUUGGAGACUCUCCAUAUUCCUCUCCUGACUUCAUAUGCUCUUCAUUUUUUUCAUUUCUAAUGCACUGAGUCUAGUCAGUGCUUCCAUGGAUAUAAGACUAUCCACUGGAGUGCAGAUGGCCUAUAAGAGAACACUGAUUCUCUGUGCCGUAACUGCCAUCAACUGCCAAUAGUUCUCAGCUAAGAUGGGGGACUCAGGCCCUCUUCCUCCAACCAUGCCGGAUUGGUGGUUGAUUUCUUCUUGUACUACUCUAGAAUAAGUUGUAAUGAUAAAUUUUUCCACGAAGCCACCCAAACCCUGCCACCACGUGGGAGCCCAAAAUAACACACAGAGAUUAAUAUUAGGUACAAUGCUGCUGGCCAAUGACUAGGAUUUCUCAUAUGCUAGCUCUGUCUUAAGUAUCAACCAUAACCAUUAAUCUAUAUAUUUUAUAAAGACUUAUCUUAUCGGACACCAGUGGCAGGAGUCUUCUCUGGCUGGGAUCACAUGGCAGCUCCAGAGAAGAGAGGAGGAGGAGGAAGAG
ensembl:lncRNA